rnacentral:rRNA from 1 species
AAAAAAGGUAAGCUACUAAGAGCGAAUGGUGGAUGCCUUGACUGGUAAAGGCGAUGAAGGACGUACUAGACUGCGAUAAGCUACGGGGAGCUGUCAAGAAGCUUUGAUCCGUAGAUUUCCGAAUGGGGCAACCCAAUGUAUAGAGAUAUACAUUACCUAUAUAGGAGCGAACGAGGGGAAUUGAAACAUCUUAGUACCCUCAGGAAAAGAAAUCAAUAGAGAUUGCGUCAGUAGCGGCGAGCGAAAGCGCAAGAGGGCAAACCCAGUGCUUGCACUGGGGGUUGUAGGACUGCAAUGUGCAAGAGGUAAGUUUAGCAGAACAUUCUGGAAAGUAUAACCAUAGAGGGUGAUAGUCCCGUAUGCGAAAAACAAACCUUAGCUAGCAGUAUCCUGAGUAGGGCGGGACACGAGGAAUCCUGUCUGAAUCCGGGUCGACCACGAUCCAACCCUAAAUACUAAUACCAGAUCGAUAGUGCACAAGUACCGUGAGGGAAAGGUGAAAAGAACUGAGGUGAUCAGAGUGAAAUAGAACCUGAAACCAUUUGCUUACAAUCAUUCAGAGCCCUAUGUAGCAAUACAGGGUGAUGGACUGCCUUUUGCAUAAUGAGCCUGCGAGUUGUGGUGUCUGGCAAGGUUAAGCAAACGCGAAGCCGUAGCGAAAGCGAGUCUGAAUAGGGCGCUUAGUCAGAUGCUGCAGACCCGAAACGAAGUGAUCUAUCCAUGAGCAAGUUGAAGCUAGUGUAAGAACUAGUGGAGGACUGAACCCAUAGGCGUUGAAAAGCCCCGGGAUGACUUGUGGAUAGGGGUGAAAGGCCAAUCAAACUUCGUGAUAGCUGGUUCUCUCCGAAAUAUAUUUAGGUAUAGCGUUGUGUCGUAAUAUAAGGGGGUAGAGCACUGAAUGGGCUAGGGCAUACACCAAUGUACCAAACCCUAUCAAACUCCGAAUACCUUAUAUGUAAUCACAGCAGUCAGGCGGCGAGUGAUAAAAUCCGUCGUCAAGAGGGAAACAACCCAGACUACCAGCUAAGGUCCCUAAAUCUUACUUAAGUGGAAAACGAUGUGAAGUUACUUAAACAACCAGGAGGUUGGCUUAGAAGCAGCCAUCCUUUAAAGAAAGCGUAAUAGCUCACUGGUCUAGUGAUUUUGCGCGGAAAAUAUAACGGGGCUAAAGUAAGUACCGAAGCUGUAGACUUGCACACAACUUAGAUUAUUUAAGUUUAGAAUAUGAGAAACUAAGUUAUAUGUUUAGUUAUAUUUUUACUGAUUUUUAUAGAGUAAAGAUAGAAAUAAAACUUAGUAAAAUCAGUAAAAAUAUUCUUAGACUAAAGUUAAGUAGUUUAAGUUGUGUGCAAGUGGUAGGAGAGCGUUCUAUUUGCGUCGAAGGUAUACCGGUAAGGAGUGCUGGAGCGAAUAGAAGUGAGCAUGCAGGCAUGAGUAGCGAUAAUUAAUGUGAGAAUCAUUAACGCCGUAAACCCAAGGUUUCCUACGCGAUGCUCGUCAUCGUAGGGUUAGUCGGGUCCUAAGUCGAGUCCGAAAGGGGUAGACGAUGGCAAAUUGGUUAAUAUUCCAAUACCAACAUUAGUGUGCGAUGGAAGGACGCUUAGGGCUAAGGGGGCUAGCGGAUGGAAGUGCUAGUCUAAGGUCGUAGGAGGUUAUACAGGCAAAUCCGUAUAACAAUACUCCGAGAACUGAAAGGCUUUUUGAAGUCUUCGGAUGGAUAGAAGAACCCCUGAUGCCGUCGAGCCAAGAAAAGUUUCUAAGUUUAGCUAAUGUUGCCCGUACCGUAAACCGACACAGGUGGGUGGGAUGAGUAUUCUAAGGCGCGUGGAAGAACUCUCUUUAAGGAACUCUGCAAAAUAGCACCGUAUCUUCGGUAUAAGGUGUGGUUCGCUUCGUAUUAGGAUUUACUCCGAAAGCGAAGAAACUUACAACAAAGAGUCCCUCCCGACUGUUUACCAAAAACACAGCACUCUGCUAACUCGUAAGAGGAUGUAUAGGGUGUGACGCCUGCCCGGUGCUCGAAGGUUAAUUGAUGGGGUUAGCAUUAGCGAAGCUCUUGAUCGAAGCCCGAGUAAACGGCGGCCGUAACUAUAACGGUCCUAAGGUAGCGAAAUUCCUUGUCGGUUAAAUACCGACCUGCAUGAAUGGCGUAACGAGAUGGGAGCUGUCUCAAAGAGGGAUCCAGUGAAAUUGUAGUGGAGGUGAAAAUUCCUCCUACCCGCGGCAAGACGGAAAGACCCCGUGGACCUUUACUACAGCUUGACACUGCUAUUUGGAUAAGAAUGUGCAGGAUAGGUGGGAGGCUUUGAGUAUAUGACGCCAGUUGUAUAUGAGCCAUUGUUGAGAUACCACUCUUUCUUAUUUGGGUAGCUAACCAGCUUGAGUUAUCCUCAAGUGGGACAAUGUCUGGUGGGUAGUUUGACUGGGGCGGUCGCCUCCCAAAUAAUAACGGAGGCUUACAAAGGUUGGCUCAGAACGGUUGGAAAUCGUUCGUAGAGUAUAAAGGUAUAAGCCAGCUUAACUGCAAGACAUACAAGUCAAGCAGAGACGAAAGUCGGUCUUAGUGAUCCGGUGGUUCUGUGUGGAAGGGCCAUCGCUCAAAGGAUAAAAGGUACCCCGGGGAUAACAGGCUGAUCUCCCCCAAGAGCUCACAUCGACGGGGAGGUUUGGCACCUCGAUGUCGGCUCAUCGCAUCCUGGGGCUGGAGCAGGUCCCAAGGGUAUGGCUGUUCGCCAUUUAAAGCGGUACGCGAGCUGGGUUCAGAACGUCGUGAGACAGUUCGGUCCCUAUCUGCCGUGGGCGUAAGAAGAUUGAAGAGAUUUGACCCUAGUACGAGAGGACCGGGUUGAACAAACCACUGGUGUAGCUGUUGUUCUGCCAAGAGCAUCGCAGCGUAGCUAAGUUUGGAAAGGAUAAACGCUGAAAGCAUCUAAGCGUGAAGCCAACUCUAAGAUGAAUCUUCUCUAAGCUCUCUAGAAGACUACUAGUUUGAUAGGCUGGGUGUGUAAUGGAUGAAAGUCCUUUAGCUGACCAGUACUAAUAGAGCGUUUGGCUUAUCUUUAAUAAAGCAU